rnacentral:rRNA from 1 species
AUUGAACGCUGGCGGCAUGCUUUACACAUGCAAGUCGAACGGUAACAGGCCGCAAGGUGCUGACGAGUGGCGAACGGGUGAGUAAUGCAUCGGAACGUGCCCAGUCGUGGGGGAUAACGCAGCGAAAGCUGCGCUAAUACCGCAUACGAUCUAUGGAUGAAAGCGGGGGACCGUAAGGCCUCGCGCGAUUGGAGCGGCCGAUGACAGAUUAGGUAGUUGGUGAGGUAAAGGCUCACCAAGCCGACGAUCUGUAGCUGGUCUGAGAGGACGACCAGCCACACUGGGACUGAGACACGGCCCAGACGCCGACGGGAGGCAGCAGUGGGGAAUUUUGGACAAUGGGCGCGAGCCUGAUCCAGCAAUGCCGCGUGCAGGAAGAAGGCCUUCGGGUUGUAAACUGCUUUUGUACGGAACGAAACGGCUCUGGUUAAUACCCGGGGCUAAUGACGGUACCGUAAGAAUAAGCACCGGCUAACUACGUGCCAGCCGCCGCAGUAACAC